rnacentral:tRNA from 1 species
GCUGGUGUAGCUCAGUUGGUAGAGCGCUCCCUUCGUAAGGGAUUGGUCGUUGGUUCAAAUCCAUCCACCAGCU